rnacentral:ncRNA from 1 species
CCGGUCCCGGUUCACGUACGCGCAGUCAGCGCGUGCGACCCGGCACC